GGUAUUCCUUAUCUCUAAUAGUUGGUUUGUCUGGAACCUGCCCUAUUGCGCUCUUUUUAAAGCGCAUAAAGCGCAAUAGGACAGGCUCAGCGUUUCGUUGCCGCGCGAGA
rnacentral:sRNA from 1 species